rnacentral:rRNA from 1 species
UCCGAGUUGUAAUUUGUAGAGGAUGUUUCGGGUACCGCCUCGGUCUAAAUUUCUUGGAACAGAAUGUCAAAGAGGGUGAGAAUCCCGUCUUGGACCGGCGGUAGGGCCCAUGUGAAACUCCUUCGACGAGUCGAGUUGUUUGGGAAUGCAGCUCAAAAUGGGUGGUAAAUUUCAUCUAAAGCUAAAUAUUGGCCAGAGACCGAUAGCGCACAAGUAGAGUGAUCGAAAGAUGAAAAGCACUUUGAAAAGAGAGUUAAACAGUAUGUGAAAUUGUUGAAAGGGAAGCGCUUGCAACCAGACUUGAGCGCGGCGGUUCCCCCUUCCUUUUGGUUGGGUUACUCCGCCGUGUCCAGGCCAACAUCGGUUCUGGGGGUCGGUUAAAGGCCCGAGGAAUGUAUCUACUCCUUCGGGGGUAGACUUAUAGCCUCGGGUGUCAUGCGACCUCCCGGGACCGAGGAACGCGCUUCGGCUCGGAUGUUGGCGUAAUGGUUGUCAGCGACCCGUCUUGAAACACGGACCAAGGAGUCUAACAUCUAUGCGAGUGUUUGGGUGUCAAACCCGGAACGCGGAAUGAAAGUGAACGGAGGUAGGAAGCCGCAAGGCUGCACUAUCGACCGAUCCUGAUGUCUUCGGAUGGAUUUGAGUAAGAGCAUAGCUGUUGGGACCCGAAAGAUGGUGAACUAUGCCUGAAUAGGGUGAAGCCAGAGGAAACUCUGGUGGAGGCUCGCAGCGGUUCUGACGUGCAAAUCGAUCGUCAAAUUUGGGUAUAGGG